UCUUUCUGUAAAAGGUUGGAAAGAAAUACUUUUGGGGCUUGUAACAAGUGGAUUUAUAAAGCUAUGAUUCCUCUAAAAAUUCAAAUCUUCAUGUCGCAAUUAUUCUAGGAUACAGUUUUGACAACAGAUAAUAUGAGGAAGAGACAUUGGCCUGGAACAUGUUUUUCUUCAUCUGCCCCAUGGCUGAAUGAUUUUGAGAGCCCUGCGAUCUCUUUUUGAUACUAAUAUGUACCCCAAUAGCCUUUCGCAAAUUUCCCCCUGGUUUCACUCUUUUUUUUUGCCUUAUGGUGACAGGUUUUCUAUGGUUGGCUUGGCUGAUAUUUGCUGUGGGAUUUGGACCACCAGAAACAAAGCAGUGUUUGAAAAAAGUUUAUCAAGUUUCCUUUUGAUUUGGUGUUCUCUAUCUGCUCGAUUUUGUUCUAUUGGUCAGAUUUGCAAAAGGAAGGAGACAAGGAGACGCUGAAGAGUGGGGAUACACAGUUGAUGCAGAAGGCGGUCGACCUGAUGUGUGGCCAGGGAUCCAGUGCUUGAUCUGCAUCUUCACCCGAAGAUGGUGCUCAUACCUUGACGUGGGAGUUUGAAGUUAGAGGUUUAAUUCUUUCAACGUCGAUGAGAAGGAAGAGAGCACGUGCCAAUGAGAAGUCCUGAAAAGGAUGAAGCACAUGGACAGAACCACACAUUAUGAAGGAAGGACGCACAAGCAAGAGUUCAGGGUCAACUAUUCAGAAAGGAGCUAUCCUCCAAACAAUUAUUCAAGAUGGAACUGCAUAUAUCCGGCGAGGUGUUUAGACGUGCUCACAUGCAUUCCUAUUCCUAAUACAGACAUCACCUCAUCCCUUCACAUGCAAUGAACUGUAUACUGAGAUACACAAGGCAAUAUAGUUGCAGCACGGA